GACGAACGCUGGCGGCGUGCUUAACACAUGCAAGUCGAACGAAGUGGCGAACGGGUGAGUAACGCGUAAUCAACCUGCCCUUCAGAGGGGGACAACAGUUGGAAACGACUGCUAAUACCGCAUACUGAAGGAGGGGUUUGCGUCUGAUUAGCUAGUUGGAGGGGUAACGGCCCACCAAGGCGAUGAUCAGUAGCCGGUCUGGGAGGAUGGACGGGCACAUUUGGAAUGGGACACGGGCCAAGACCCUACGGGAGGCAGCAGUGGGGAAACUUCCGCAAUGGGCGAAAGUCUGACGGAGCAACGCCGGGGGAGUGAUGACAGCCUUCGGGUUGUAAAGCUCUGUUAAUCGGGACGCAGUACCGGAAUAGAAAGCCACGGCUAACUACGUGCCAGCAGCCGCGGUAAUAC
rnacentral:rRNA from 1 species